rnacentral:rRNA from 1 species
GACGAACGCUGGCGGCGUGCUUAACACAUGCAAGUCGAACGAAAAUACCAAGCUUGCUUGGUUGAUUAGUGGCGAACGGGUGAGUAACACGUGAGUAACCUGCCCCUUACUUUCCUGGAUAACUGCUCGAAAGGGUAGCUAAUACGGGAUAUUCUGACCAGCCUGCAUGGGUUGGUUUGGAAAGGUUGUUUUUCUGGUAAGGGAUGGGCUCGCGGCCUAUCAGCUUGUUGGUGGGGUGAUGGCCUACCAAGGCUUUGACGGGUAGCCGGCCGGAGAGGGUGGACGGUCACACUGGGACUGAGAUACGGCCCAGACUCCUACGGGAGGCAGCAGUGGGGAAUAUUGCACAAUGGGCGCAAGCCUGAUGCAGCGACGCCGCGUGAGGGAUGAAGGCCUUCGGGUUGUAAACCUCUUUCGUCAGGGAACAAGGCACUGCUUUUUUGGUGGUGUUGAGGGUACCUGGAUAAGAAGCGCCGGCUAACUACGUG